rnacentral:rRNA from 1 species
UACGUAGGGGGGCGAGCGUUGUCCGGAAUCAUUGGGCGUAAAGCGCGUGUAGGCGGUUCAGUAAGUCUGCUGUGAAAGUCCAGGGCUCAACCCUGGGAUGCCGGUGGAUACUGCUGAACUAGAGUGCGGAAGAGGCGAGUGGAAUUCCCGGUGUAGCGGUGAAAUGCGCAGAUAUCGGGAGGAACACCAAUUGCGAAGGCAGCUCGCUGGGACGUUACUGACGCUGAGACGCGAAAGCGUGGGGAGCAAACAGG